rnacentral:lncRNA from 1 species
CUGACAAUAGAGGAAUGUACACAAUCUGUUUUUAAAAUGAAACUUAAUAAAACACCAGGUAUCGAUGGUCUCUCAAUUGAAUUUUAUAGAGUUUUCUGGUCCAACUUACAAAACUUUGCUGUAGAUGUUUUUAAUAAUUGCUAUGAAAAAAAAAAGAAUUGACAAAUUCUCAGAAACUAGGAUUAAUUACCCUUAUAUACAAGAAAAACGACCCA